CAGGGAGACAACACAAUGAUUCUGAUGCCUGAGUGCUUUUAUUCUUAGGCCGAAAUCCUGUCACCUUAGGUCGAUCGGUACCUCAGCUUUGAAGUCAAGGAUCAGCAGCAAUGUUGAUUGCUUGAUGGAGAUUUUCAGUUCCUAAACUUUGUCUAGGUCACACCCCAAAAGGGAUGAGACUCCUGGGCCAUUAGCUCAGGUGGUUAGAGCGCACCCCUGAUAAGGGUGAGGUCCCUGGUUCAAGUCCAGGAUGGCCCAUUCGGUGUUGGGGGUUUAGCUCAGUUGGUAGAGCGCCUGCUUUGCAAGCAGGAUGUCAGGAGUUCGAGUCUCCUAACCUCCACUGACCGAACUUGAUUCCCAUCUCCAAUUUUUUUGGAGUUGAGCUCGAUUGGAGUGUGAUUUAGAUGUGUCCGCUGGAUGACCCCAGCUUCCUGUCAUUCCAAGUUUUAGGUUAAAGCCUUGAAUUUGGUUGAUAAGAUGCUGGGCUCGGAUCAAAUGAUCAAGCAAUUGAUGAUUUGAUUUGAAGUUCUAGCAGAACCUUGACAACUGCAUAGGUGAGUCUGGAAAAAACAAAGCAUCUUACAGAUGCAUUGUUUUGAAUCCGAUCUUCUGAAAGGGAGAUUAGAUCUAGAACAAUGAAAAUUCUUUUGAGCAAGAGCCGAGACUCUUGAACGUUCUUUGAUUGGUGUCGAGCCAAUCAGAGUUUGAUCUUGUUUUUAGCAAUAAAAACUUGAGAAUCUGCUUUCAACGGCGGUAAGCGUUUAAGAGGUUAAUU
rnacentral:tRNA from 1 species